rnacentral:lncRNA from 1 species
AUUUCUUUGGGCCGCUCCCGUGGCAUAUGGAGGUUCCCAGGCUAGAGGUCGAAUCGGAGCUGUAGCCCCCGGCUUACGCCAGAGCCACAGCAACGCGGGAUCCGAGCCACGUCUGCAACCUACACCACAGCUCACGGCAACGCCAGAUCGUUAACCCACUGAGCAAGGUCAGGGAUCGAACCCGCAACCUUAUGGUUCCUAGUCGGAUUCGUUAACCACUGCACCACGACGGGAACUCCAGGAGGCUCCUUUAGGACGGUCUUUUCAAACUUUUUUGACCCUUACUUACAGUCAGAAAAUAUUUUACAUUGCAACACAUACAUACACAAUUGAAACAAAAGUUUCACAAAACUAUUAAUCCUUAAUAUAUGAUACACUCUGAUAUUUUCCAUUCUUUUUUUUUCUCCUGUUUUUAAAAUGCUGGUCACAACAUAGCACAUUGAUUUCACAACUCACUGAUGAGUUGCGUCCUUGAGUUUGAACAACACUGCUCCAAGUGUAUGUCUUAGUCUGUCUGGGCUGCUGUAACAAAAUCACAUGAACUGGGUGGCUUACAAACAAUAGAAAUUUGUUUCUAAAAUUCUCAAAGUCCAAGAUUAAGGCACUGGCAGAUUCAGUCUCUUGUGAGGGGGGCACUCUCUAGGGAUAGUCCUCUUUUCACUUCAACCUGACGUGGCAGAAAGGUCAAGGGGUCUUAUGUGUGGAAUCUAAAAUCUGAUACAUAGCACCAUGGCUAUGAAACAAAAACAGACUCGUAGAUGGUGAGAACAACUUGUGGCUGCUAAGGGGAAGCGGGGAUGGAGGAGGGGAGAACUGGCAGUUUGGGGGAUUAGCAAAGGCAAACUAUUACAUACAGGAUGGAUGAACAAGGUCCUACUGUAUAGCGCAGGGAACGAUAUUCAAUAUUCUAUGAUAAAACAUAAUGGAAAAGCAUACGAAAAAGAAUAUAUGUAUGUAAAACUGAGUCAUUUUGCUGUAUGGCAGAAAUUAACACAACGUUGUAAAUCAACUAUACUUCAAUAAUUUUUUUUUAAAAGAGACAUUCAAACCACAGACAAUAAAUAUCAUAUCAAAGCCCUCAAGGCUAUGAUGACAAGGUUGUGGCGCUCUGUGCACUGCCGAAAGCACUAAAAAUAGGAGUGAAAACUACCCGGUAUUUAACGAGACUCAGAAUCCACGAUGCCAGGAAAGCAAAAACACAGUGGAGGUAAAACAGGACGUUGAAUACCACCUCCAUCCCCACCCACAGAGCAGGAGACCGGAGGCCCUACCCGACACGUCUACGUUGUUAGUGGGAUUUUGGCUUCUGACAGCAAGAGCUUUGGAAGGAGCUGGCUCUACUACCAUGUGGAAGUACCAGCCAUGUGCCUUUCACAAACAUCUCUAAACGUUUGACUUCUAGGGUGAAAAAUGGGGAUAAUGGCAAUAACUGCAUUGCGAUUACCUAAGGUUAUAUAAGGUAAUGUAUUAAAAGCUUUAGCAAAGUUCCUGGCAUAGAGUAAACAUUCAAAACACUAGCUCUAUUAUUUCUGAAUCACAAAACAAACACUGAGUGGUCGGGUGUCCGAGUGCAAAUGUGGUGGGAGGAGAAGGGAGAGCUAAGCAAGGAAAUCAAGCAGGUUUAGAACACACGGGGUCAGUGCCUGACGAUGGUGGCUUCCACAAGAAUCAGAGUGUGAGGGCACAUUUCCCACAAGAAUAGGGGCUGCUGUUAUGGGAAGAACUAACAGCAAAGUCCACAGCAUCUAAGAAGCAGCGAACAGCGAACACUGUAAUUCAUCCAUGCUACUCUGGGUCUAAAGUUUGUGUCCUGAAUUACCGUAUUAUUCCAUCUUGCGAUUUUAACUGAGAAAUUGAACACACAAUAAAGUGUGUGAAGAGAACCAAAAAAUAGAUUUGUGAGAGCCUAUGUAAUUAUGUUUCAAAGAGCUUUCAGUAAACUUGCCCUCAGAGCCUUUCUAAAAAUAACAGAAAGUUCACACUCCAUUCUUUUACCUGCCCUGUUAUUUCCCCUUCAAAAGAAAGCUGAAUCUUAUUCACCUUAAAAUCCAUAAGCACAUCGAAGAAGCUCAAUAAAUAUUUAUUUAGUGAACCCGAGCUGUCUUUCAGAAAACCCUAUUUCUGGAUAUAAUAUCUCAAAAUAUAGUCAGAACAGAAAGAUAUAAAGGAGCAAACAAAGCAUACUGCAGUCCCGUAAUGAAAUACGACUCAGCAAUAAAAAGGAACAAGCUACUGAGGCAUGCAGUGCGAAUGAAUAUCAAAAGCAUUAUCCAAAACAUCAGAAGUAUAUAUACGAUAUGAUUCCAUUCUGGAAAAGGAAAAAACCUAAAGGAACAGAAAACAAAUCAGUGGUGGACAGGGGACGGUGGAAGGCGGCUGAUUACCAAGACACAGGAGAGAACUCUGAGGUGACGGAGAUGGUCCGUAACUUGACUGUGGUGGAGGUCACAUGACUGUAUCACCCCAAUUCAUGGACCGGUAUAUAUAAAAGGCGUGCAUUUUACUAUGUGUAAAUUACGCCCUCGUAACCCUGACUGUAAAAUAAAAGAAGACCUAAACUAUAUGAUAGUCUUUGAUAAUUUUCUUAAAAUACAUUUACUAAUUUUGAGGUGACUAUCGGGGUGUCCAUAGAAGUCUUGAAAACAAUUGUCUUGCAGUUAACAAAGUGCAAAACAUCACGUAACUAUAGCAUCUCAAAGAUACAGAUCAUUCCAACUAUUCAUUUGUUAUUGUUUUUGUGAAGAAUAUGUUGUAUAAGACAGAAAUGGAGGUGAGAAGUGAGAUAUGAGCCUUAAUUUGGAAAAACCACACGGAGCUGAAACGUAGAAAGGACUUUUUUUCCUGUAUGAAAAGGAAAAGACAAUCUCUUCAAUAAAUGGUACUUGGAAAACUGGACAGCUACUUGUAAAAGAAAUUAGAACAUUCUCUAUCACCAUAUACAAAAAUAAACUCAAAAUGAACGAAAGACCUAAAUGUAAGAUGGGAUACUAUAAAAUUCCUAGCGGAAAACAUAGGCAGAACAUUUCUAACAAGAAUUGCACCAAUAUAUUUUUUUGUCUUUCUGUCUUUUUAGGGCUGCACCCAUGCCAUAUGGAGCAAUUUUUUUUGCUCCAUCUCCUAAAGCAAAGGGAACAAAAGCAGAAAUAAACAAUGGGGCCUAAUUAAACUUAAAAGCUUUUGCAUAGCAAAGAAAACUAUUGACAAAACAAAAAGAUAACCUAUGAAUGGGGGAAGAUAUUUUCAACUAAUAUGACUGAUAAAGGGUUAAUAUCCAAAAUAUAUAAACAGCUCAUACAACUCAACAUCAAAAAAAGCCAAAAAACUCGAUUAAAAAGUGGGCAGAAGAACCGAACAGACAUUUACCCAAAGGAGACAUACAGAUGACCAACAGGCAUGUGAAAAGAUGCUCAACAUUGCCAAUCAUCAGGGAAAUGCAAACCAAAACCACGGUAAGAUGACAUCUCAUACCUGUCAGAAUGGCUAGUAUCAAAAGGACACAAACAGCAAGUGUUGGCAAGGAUGUAAAGAAAACCCUUGUACGCCAUUGGCGGGAAUGUCAAUUGGUUCAGCUUCUGUGGAAAGCAGUGUGGAGAUUUCUCAAAAAACUAAAAACAGGACUACCAUAUGACCCAUAAUACUCCACUCUGGUGUAUGUCUGAAAAAAACAGAAACACUAAUUCAAAAAGAUGCAUGCACCCCAAUGUUUAGAGCAGUGUUAUUUACAAUUGCCAAGGUAUGGGAGCAACCUAAAUGUCCAUCAACAGGUGAAUGGAUAAAGAAGAUGUGGUAUAAAUACAGUGAAUACUACUGAGCCAUAAAGAAGAAUAACAUUUUGUCAUCUGCAGCAACAUAGAUGGGCUUGGAAGGCAUUAUACCAAGUGAAAUAAGUCAGAUAGAGAAGGACAAAUACUGUAUGAUAUCACUUAUAUGUGAAGGCUAAAAAAUACAGCAAACUAGUGGAUACAACAAAAAAGAAGCAGACUCACAGAAGUAGAGGACAGAUCCGAUGUUUACUAAUGGGGAGAUGGAAGGGGAGGGGCUACAUCCCCCUUAAAAAGGGGUUAUUAUGGGAUACAUGAAAUUACGUGUGUGAAGUUUUGAAAAUUGUAAAGCACUGUGCAACUUAAAGAAUCGUUCAAUGGAAAGUUUUUAAAAAGAUCUGGACAAUAAACGCAAUCUUACAUUUUCAAGUGUAUACACAGUAUGUAGCAAUUACACAGUUAUUUGUCUUCAUGGAUCAUUUCCUUGAGUGGUCCUGCCUGCCACAGUUCAUAUCACUGGGGGUAGUUAUAUGUUUUCAUGCCUUCCCAUUCAUUCAUUCAUUCAUUCAACCUUUUAUUUAAUAAUUGUGUGUUAAGCAUCUCUAUAUGCUAUAUACUGGGGAUGCAGGGGUGAGUGAAAGACCAGAGAGCCCUUCCUUGUGCCUUAUAGUCUAGUGAGGAGAGAGAUCAAAAAGUGUGGAAAAUAAAUACCUUCAGGUGGUGGUAAGCCUUAUGAAAAAAUAAAACAGGGUGAUGGGGUAGAGAAUAACUCUGGGGGUAGGAAGUGGGUGGGCAGAAUACUUUGGAUGGAGUGAUGAGGGGCUCCGAGGAGGCGGCAUUUGCAGCGAUGGCUCUGGGGAGUGAAUGACAAGGAGUCAGCCAUGGGAAGAGAUCUGGGGGAAGAGUGUUCAGGCAUAGGAAACAAUCAGAGCUAAAGCUCGAGACAGAAAUGCAUUUGGCAUCAAACGAGGGCUAUCCAGCAGGCCCAUGUGGUCAGAAUGCAGUGACCAAGGUAAGAGGGGUAGCAGAUGAGUCCAGAAAGCUUUGCAAGUCUCGGAGGCUUUUGAAAGGCGUUUCAGUUUAUUCUAAUGGCAAUGGGAAGUUGUCAGAGGGUUUUCAGUAGGGCAGUGAAGGGAUUUUCUUGUAGUGUCUCUCUGGCUUCUCUAGUGGUGGUCAAGAAGGUAGACCUGGAGAAAGGUCGGAUGGCCAGGGCAGUCACCUAGGCCAGAGACGAGGGUGGCCUGGAUCAAGAUGGCAGCAGCCGUGGUGGUGAGAAGUGGAUUCAGGUUCCGACGAGCAGAUGGGGCUAACAAGACCUGCUGACAGAUGGCCUGGAGGUGGUGAGAAGAACCCCGGGGUGAGCGGGGAAGACGGGACAGGAAAAACAUCCUGGAGGGGGACCAACAAUUCUGCUUUGUUCCUGCUCUAGUUCAGAUACACUAAGAGAUGCAAGUGGAGAUGUGAGAAGGCAGCCAGAUGCUCAAGUGCGGCGACCUAGGGAGAGAUCAGAGUGGGACAGACACAUGGUUCUGUCAUCAGCAUACAGACUGUAUUUAGAGCACCGAGACUAGACAUAACUGCUUAUGGAAUGAGCCCAAGUGAAGAAGGAAAGAAGACCCAGACUAGACACUGGGCACAGGUUAGCAUUUAGAGGUGGUGUAAAGGAGCCGUUCCGGCGAUGCAGGAGGAAAACUGAGCAUGUGGCUGAAGCUAACAGUAGAAGGUGUUUUAAGCAGGAAGAAAUGGUCACCUCUGCCGAAUCCAGCCAAGAGGUCAAAUUAGGGAGCGCUGCGAACAGAUACUGUAUUUGGCAAGGUGAAGCCAUCGGUGGCAGAUGUGAUGGUCAUUUCCACAAGCGCAACGAACAUCUGAUUGGGGUGCACAGAGAAAGAGAAGUGAGAAAGUGGGCAGAUCAAGUACAAGCACUGGUUGGGGAGUCUCACUCUGAAGGACGCUGAGAUACAGGGCGGAGGCUGGCGAGGACGUGGAGGCGAGGGGGAGUUACGCGAGGCCAACGCUAAGGCAUGACGCAGAAAAGAGGUCAGAUAAUGGCGAGAGGGAAUCUUCCACCAGGCAGGCAUGCCAUCCAGCGCCCGAGAGGGGAGGGUAUGUUCUUCACGGUGGGAGGAGGGAGCACAAGCAGUCCCCGUUAGGUGGGUUGGUAGACUUGGCGGAGAGAAGAUGACGUAAUUGCUGCCUGAUGGUUUCUGUUCCUUCGACAAAGUGUAAAGUGUGAUCACCAGCUGAGGGGGAGGGAAGAGGACGUGAGGGAAGUUUAAGGAGAGGAGAGAUGUAAAAUAAACAACCUGGAGAGUCAGAGGCAACAUCCUAUUCAUAUCUGCAUCCUAGCACAGUGCCUGGCACAUUGCAGACACAUUGAAAAGCGACUGAAGCUUAGAAUCAGAAAAGAAAGGAAGAAUGGUUAUAUGCAUUAAAGACAUAUCUCAGAAAUAAGAGUGCAGUAUUUGUAGAUGACUUUGGUUUACAAAUGGUAUAGAGUCUGCUUACUUAUUCUGUAGUUCUAGAAUAUUAGAGGAAGAAAGCAUCCUUGCAAAAGGUAAUUUAGGGCAAGAUUAUUAUUUUAUACUUUAUUUACAAGGCCAUCUUUCCUACUAUGCUAAUCUUUUCAAGGUUAGGAGAUUCUAUCUUUUCAUCUUUGUAUUCUCAGAAUGUAUAUAAAACCAUUCCUGGCAUGAAUUAAGGGCACAAUAAUAUUUUUUAAAAUAAAUGAAUGACUGAACACAAGGAGCUUCUAAUCCCUAGAGGAUUUGUAAAUUGAAAUGGAAGACUUGCCAAAAGAAUUUUAAUACUUCAGGGAUGAAAAGCUGUAGUGGAUUUUGGAGUUCCUGUUGUGGCUCAGUGGUAACAAACCCGACGAGAAUCCAUGAGGACUCAUGUUCGAUCCCUGACCCCACUCAGUGGGUUAAGGAUUCAGCGCUGUUAUGUCGGUGGUGUAGGUCAGCAGCUGCAGCUCCAAUUCAAUCCCUAGCCUGGGAACUUUCAUACUGCCAAGGGUGCGGCCCUAAACCAAAAAACCAAAACACGAAACAAACAAAAAAAAACUAUCAUGGAUUUUAAAGAUCAAUGGAUGCUUUGGGGACAUUUAGAAAGAGU